UGUCAGGAGUGAGCAAGGAGAUACAGCGAUCGCCCGUGUUUACUCGUCCAAGACUGGCGGAUGGGGUGCUCUCAUCUCAUUACUGCUUCCACCCAAGGAUCCUAGUACUUCCGUGAUUUGUACGGGAUUUCCCGGUAUCCUAGUUGGGCAAUCCCUGUACUGGUUGCUCUCUGACAUGAAAAUUAAGGAAAGAUCGAAUGGCAUCCUUGAGUUUGAUUUGGAGAGGCAGGUCCUAUCUCUGUUACCAGUGCCGGUGGAUGCCAUUCCUAACAAACUCCAGCUUAUGCGGGCAGAGGGUGGUGGCCUUGGUAUUUUCUUUCUGUCAAAGUUCAGCGCCCAAUUAUGGAAGAUGGAGACCGAUUCUGAUAAUGUUGCUUCAUGGGUGCUGGCAAGAACUGUUGAACUGGAUAAGCUACUUCUCAUGAGUUCAUGGAAGAAGAAGAGAGAGCCCCUAUGCAUAAAGGGGUUUGCUGAGUACAAUAGUGUGGUGUUCCUACGGGCACCUACCGACCUCUUCACGAUCCAGCUUGAGUCGCUGCAGUUCAAGAAAGUUUCCAGAACCAACUUCGUGGCUCGCUAUCAUCCGUUCGAAAAUGUCUAUGUUGCAGGCAUGGGCAUUGGUGGUGGACAUGAUGGAGCUGAAGUUUUGCACAAUACGUAAGAUGCUUGGUCAGAUGGAUAUGCUAUUAUGAUGUAUUAAUUGAGUAUCUGGAGAUGUGGGAAUGGCUUGUGAUCGACGCGUAGGUUCUUCCGUUUGGUGUGGCUGAGAUGCAGAAAUGGCUUGUUGGAGUGCCCAUUUGGUGUGCUCCCUCUUCCUACUAAGUGGCACGCACCGAACCAUGCGGCUGGACUUGUAGGAAUUUAACAGCAUAAUUUGCUGAUUAGUGCCUACUAUGUUGAACUUUUAUCUGGUCGUAGCUGAUGAAUGUAGAAUGAUGAGCUGCAACUGCCUGCCUGGUGCUGCUUUCCUUUUCUUUUUGGUUUGAGAUGCAGUGACUAAAGGACUCGUUUGAGCUGGCUGUCGUCUGAAAGUAUUUCACGAGUUAGCUUUCUCAUCAUUCAGGUGAAAACCGAUGGGCCUCUAAUCUGAAGAAAUAAGAUGAUCUGCUCUGUGUUGCAAGUUGCUGUCAUGCCGCCGGUGUCAUUAGUUGGCUGUCAUCGGAGACAUAUGCGUCCUCCAUGAAGCCAAGGUUCAGCCCUAUGUUUUCCUCCCGGCUGCAAGAGAAAUAUGCGUCCUCCAUGAAGCCAAGGUUCAGCCCUAUGUUUUCCUCCCGGCUUCAAGAAGCUCACUUUCAGAGCUGCGACCACGAACUGCCAUACGAGCCGGCACACCCCAUUCAUCCUCUGGCUGUUGCCGGCCGCAAAGUACAGGUGAAGGCGCAGGUGCGCCCUCACUGCUGCCGGAGACACGGGCGGGAUGGCUCGCAGCCGAGAACAGGGCACGCACGAGCAAUGCCAGCCCGCCCGCGUUCGCGCCUCAGCUGACGCGUGGUGCUUACAGAUUUCUCUUCUGUUAGAAAAAUUGCCUCC